GCAGUCGACGGCAGCACGGGAGCAAUCCUGGUGGCGAGUGGCGAACGGGUGAGUAAUACAUCGGAACGUGUCCAGUAGUGGGGGAUAGCCCGGCGAAAGCCGGAUUAAUACCGCAUACGACCUACGGGUGAAAGCGGGGGAUCGCAAGACCUCGCGCUAUCGGAGCGGCCGAUGUCAGAUUAGCUAGUUGGUGGGGUAAAGGCCUACCAAGGCGACGAUCUGUAGCUGGUCUGAGAGGACGACCAGCCACACUGGGACUGAGACACGGCCCAGACUCCUACGGGAGGCAGCAGUGGGGAAUUUUGGACAAUGGGCGCAAGCCUGAUCCAGCCAUGCCGCGUGCGGGAAGAAGGCCUUCGGGUUGUAAACCGCUUUUGUCAGGGAAGAAAAGCGCCGAGCUAAUACCUCGGCGUCAUGACGGUACCUGAAGAAUAAGCACCGGCUAACUACGUGCCAGCAGCCGCGGUAAUACGUACGGUGCAAGCGUUAAUCGGAAUUACUGGGCGUAUAGCGUGCGCAGGCGGCUUUGCGAGACAGAUGUGAAAUCCCCGGGCUUAACCUGGGAACUGCAUUUGUGACUGCAUGGCUGG
rnacentral:rRNA from 1 species